GAUCAGUAAAUUCCCUACAUCACACCAGCUGUAUUUAGGAAAGUAUUAAGUGAAGUAGUGUCCGUAGACUCAUCUAUUUGUGGUGAGGGAGUUCAUUUUGAGUCCCUGAUGCCCGUUUCGCCAGAUAAGGCUCAUCAGAGGGGACGAUUACAAAAUACAGUUACAUGACGGUCAGGUCUGACAUCAAAGGGUUACGCCAAUAUCACAACCUGCGCAGCCCGCUUGGAGUACCCUCGCCUGGUUUCCCAGAAAUGGAGCAAAUUGUUUAAUGGUGG